UACGUAGGGUGCAAGCGUUAAUCGGAAUUACUGGGCGUAAAGCGUGCGCAGGCGGUUUGGUAAGACAGAUGUGAAAUUCCCGGGCUCAACCUGGGAACUGCAUUUGUGACUGCCUAACUAGAGUGCGGCAGAGGGGAGUGGAAUUCCGCGUGUAGCAGUGAAAUGCGUAGAUAUGCGGAGGAACACCGAUGGCGAAGGCAACUCCCUGGGCCUGCACUGACGCUCAUGCACGAAAGCGUGGGGAGCAAACAGG
rnacentral:rRNA from 1 species